rnacentral:rRNA from 1 species
GGGACACGUGGUAUCCUGUCUGAAUAUGGGGGGACCAUCCUCCAAGGCUAAAUACUCCUGACUGACCGAUAGUGAACCAGUACCGUGAGGGAAAGGCGAAAAGAACCCCGGCGAGGGGAGUGAAAAAGAACCUGAAACCGUGUACGUACAAGCAGUGGGAGCACGCUUAGGCGUGUGACUGCGUACCUUUUGUAUAAUGGGUCAGCGACUUAUAUUCUGUAGCAAGGUUAACCGAAUAGGGGAGCCGAAGGGAAACCGAGUCUUAACUGGGCGUUAAGUUGCAGGGUAUAGACCCGAAACCCGGUGAUCUAGCCAUGGGCAGGUUGAAGGUUGGGUAACACUAACUGGAGGACCGAACCGACUAAUGUUGAAAAAUUAGCGGAUGACUUGUGGCUGGGGGUGAAAGGCCAAUCAAACCGGGAGAUAGCUGGUUCUCCCCGAAAGCUAUUUAGGUAGCGCCUCGUGAAUUCAUCUCCGGGGGUAGAGCACUGUUUCGGCAAGGGGGUCAUCCCGACUUACCAACCCGAUGCAAACUGCGAAUACCGGAGAAUGUUAUCACGGGAGACACACGGCGGGUGCUAACGUCCGUCGUGAAGAGGGAAACAACCCAGACCGCCAGCUAAGGUCCCAAAGUCAUGGUUAAGUGGGAAACGAUGUGGGAAGGCCCAGACAGCCAGGAUGUUGGCUUAGAAGCAGCCAUCAUUUAAAGAAAGCGUAAUAGCUCACUGGUCGAGUCGGCCUGCGCGGAAGAUGUAACGGGGCUAAACCAUGCACCGAAGCUGCGGCAGCGACACUAUGUGUUGUUGGGUAGGGGAGCGUUCUGUAAGCCUGCGAAGGUGUGCUGUGAGGCAUGCUGGAGGUAUCAGAAGUGCGAAUGCUGACAUAAGUAACGAUAAAGCGGGUGAAAAGCCCGCUCGCCGGAAGACCAAGGGUUCCUGUCCAACGUUAAUCGGGGCAGGGUGAGUCGACCCCUAAGGCGAGGCCGAAAGGCGUAGUCGAUGGGAAACAGGUUAAUAUUCCUGUACUUGGUGUUACUGCGAAGGGGGGACGGAGAAGGCUAUGUUGGCCGGGCGACGGUUGUCCCGGUUUAAGCGUGUAGGCUGGUUUUCCAGGCAAAUCCGGAAAAUCAAGGCUGAGGCGUGAUGACGAGGCACUACGGUGCUGAAGCAACAAAUGCCCUGCUUCCAGGAAAAGCCUCUAAGCAUCAGGUAACAUCAAAUCGUACCCCAAACCGACACAGGUGGUCAGGUAGAGAAUACCAAGGCGCUUGAGAGAACUCGGGUGAAGGAACUAGGCAAAAUGGUGCCGUAACUUCGGGAGAAGG